UGGAGGCUGGGGUUGGGGUGGCUUCUGGGUUUCUGGUGCUGUUUUAAUCUCGACCUGGGCACUGGUUUUAGUUUGUGAAAAAUCAUUCAGUUGCAUACUUAGAAUAUGUGCACUUUUUCAUAUGUCCAUCAUACAUUAAUAAAAAGUGUUUCUAGAAGUUAGUUGUUUUUCACUAAGAGCAAGACAGCCCUCAUCUCCUUGAGAACAAGAACAAAGCCUGACUUAUCCCAGCAGCUUGCACAGUGCUGGCGGGGCACACUGUAAGUGCUCAGCUGAUGGUUGUUGAAUUGCUCUGAAUGGAUUGUGAGCAAGAGACCAGCAGGGGUGGAGGCUGACAGGAGAGACAGCGCCUGCCUCUGUACUCUAAAGUGCCAGGGAACUCUUGGUGAUUUGGAUCCAGUUCAGGCACCUGAAGCCCAGUUAAAGAGAAGGAAUCUUCAGUGUUUUCUCUCUCAGGUGGGGAAGUUCUUUUUCCUGUUGUUGUUGUUGUUUGUUUGUUUGUUUGUUUUGGCAGACACAAGUUUCAGCCCUGGCAUCCCAGCUGUCUGAAGGAGGGGCCUCAGGGGUACCCAUGACCCCUCACCAUUCCUCCAGCAGCCCCACCUCUGCCGAGCAGAUACAGCCGGGCACGGUGGCUCACACCUGUAAUCCCAGUACUUUUAGGAGGCUGAGGCAGGAGGAUCACUGGAACCCAAGAGUUCGAGACCAGCCUGGGCAACAUGGAUCUCACUCUGUUGCCCAGGCUGGAGAGCAAUGGCAUGAUCUUGGCUCGAUGCAGCCUCGAUCUCUACAAAGGAAUUUUACUACAAUGAUUAAAGUUCGAGAUGCACAACAGAAAGUCCACAUCAACUGAUUUCAUUACACCUGUUACAUUUCAAUACACUCCAGGGAAAUGGUAGUCGUUAAUAUUAUAUACCAAAUAUCUCUGGUUGCUAUCCCUGGGGGUGCUUUGCACUGGCCUGAACCCUUUGAAGUUAGAUGUGACCAUGUGACUUUCUUGAGCCAAUGAAACAUGAAUAAAUCUGAUGUGUAUUAUUACAGAUAGAAGCUUUAAGAGCCAGUGACCUGCCCACCACAUUCUUUCCCCCGGCCCUGGCAAUUGUGCAAGCUUGUUUAUAGGAAAAGGUAGCCUCUGCCAGCUGGGGCCCCUGUGUGACCAUGAUGAGUAGGGCCCUCCCUAGCAAUUGUAGUUGGACUUGUAGCAUGAAUGAGAAAUCCAGUCCUGAGAUUGAAUUGGUUGUUACUGCAGUAUAAUCUAACCUCUCCUGUCUGAUAAGAAAUCAGAUGUUUCUGUAUAUAUCAACUUCCAGUAAAAGAAAAAAUCAUAAGAUUCUGCUCAAACUAAGUGACAAUUUAAAAAUAAGAGCAAGAUGCAUAUUCAGUAUAUCUUUAAGGCUUGAAGAAAUAGAAAAUAUUUUAAAAAGCCACAGGUAAAGCUGACAAGGCAAUUCAAUGGGGAAAGAAUUGUCUUUAACAAAUGGGGCUAGGACAAUGGGCUAUCCACAUGAAAAAGAAUGAAGUUGAACCCCUGCCUCACACCAUAUAUAAAAUGUAACUCAAAGUGGAUCAAAGACCUACAUAUAAGAGGUAAAGCUACAAAACUCUUGGAAAAAAAAUACGGCAGUAAACCUUCAUGACCUUGGAUUUGGCGAUAGUUUCUUAAAUAUAUCAAAAGCACAAGCAACCAAAGGAAAAAAUAAAUAAAUUGAACAUUAUCAAAAUUGAAAACCUCUUUGCUUCAGAAGGCAACAUCAAGAAGUAAAAAGACAUUUCACUAAAAGGGAGAAAAUAUUUGCAAAUCUCAUAUUUCAUAAGGGACUUGUAUCUCAAAUAUAAGGAGAACUCUUACAGCUCAAAAAUAAAAAGCAAAGAACCCAGUUUUUAAAAUGGGCAAAGUAUCUGAAUAGACAUUUCUCCAAAGAAGAUCAAUAAUAAGGGCAAUAAUCAAUAAUGCUCAACAUUUGAUUUGAGGAAAUCAAAGUCACUGAGGAAAUGCAAAUCAAAACCACAAUGAGAUACCACUUCACACCCACUAAGUGACUAUUAUAAUCACAAAGAAAGACAAUAACAAGCGUUGGCAAGGAUGUGGAGAAAUUUGAACUUUUGUACACUGGUGGUGGAAAUGUAAAAUGGCACAGCUACUUAGGAAAACAGUCUGGCAGUUCUUCAAAAGGUUAAUUAUAAAGUUAUGAUGUGACCCAGCCAUUCCAUUCCUAGGUAUAUAUCCAAGAGAAUGAAAAGAGAUGUCCAUACAUAUGGACAUUUAGUUAGCAAUAAAAAUAAUGAAGUACUGAUACAUGCUGCAACAUGGGUGAACCUUAAAAACAUCAUGCUAAGUGCAAGAAGCCAGCCACAAGUCCAUACAUUGUAUUACAUCAUUUAUAGAAAAUGUCCAGAUUAGGAAAGUUUAUGGUGACAGGAAAUAGAUCAAUAAUUGCCUAGGGAGGGUGGUGGGGGGGAGCUGAGGAGGAAUGGGGAAUGACCCUGGUUCAUGGGCACCAGGAUGUUUCUUGGGGGAUGAAAAUGUUCUAAAAUUAGUUUGUGGUGAUGACUGCACAACCCUGUGAAAACACUCAGAAACUUUGUACUUCAAAUAGGUAAAUUGUAUGGUAUGUUAAUUAUAUCUCAAUAAAGCUGUAACACACACACAUAGACAAAGGAGAACAGAAAGAGAAUGAAGAAGUAUAGAAUAGAAAUAAAUGGAUUUAACUUGAGAAAAGAAGACUGACCGACGGAAAAAGCUAGGCCCAGGUCAGGAGAGUCUGAUGGCCGAUCCUCCCAGUGAGUUGGUCUGGGCCAAUGUGGGGUACAGUGGCAGAAGGGGAAUCUGAAUAGACAGGCCCUGUCCCAUGACUACUCAGUGAGGAGAUGAGACUGGCACAGGGGAGGCCCUGAGUCACACGAUGGUGAUGCCCAGGGAAGAAGAUGUCAGAAGACAGGCAGUUUCUCACAGUGCUUCUGAAGGUCAUGAAAAAGCCAGGGGUGAGUCUGUAAAGUCCCUGCUGGCCAUGAUGAUGUCCCUGACAGCUGGGGAUCCUGGCGAGAACAGCAUUCAGAACUUGGGAUUUUCCUUGCAGAUCACAAUGGUUGGCUGACACAGGGGAAAGGGGGAGCUUUGCAGAGAGCUUCAAACAUCUCCAGCUGAGCUGCACCUGUCAGGGCCCCUGAGCCAUCCAGGAAGAAGGAGGCACUGAGGUGGGGAAUGGGGUCCUGGCCUGGGGUCAGCAGCCUGGGCUCUGGUUCCAGUUCCGUACCCCCCCUUGCCCCCCAGAACUACCUGUAUGGCAAGCUCCUUUCCCUUCCUGUGCCUCAGUUUCCUCCUCUGUAAAAUCAGUUUAGACUACACUGCAAGGUUGUCCAGCCCGCAGCCAGUGGGCUGCAUGCCAGCGAGGACAGCUUUGAAUGUGGCCCAACACAAAUUCGUAAACCUUCUUAAAACAUUAUGAAAUUUUUGUGUGUGUGAUUUUUUUAACCUAAUCAGCUAUCGUUAGCCUUAGUG